rnacentral:tRNA from 1 species
GAGGUUAUUGCUCAAUGGUAGAGUGUGUGCUUAGCAUGCAUGAGGUCCUGGGUUCCAGCCCAAUUACCUCC